rnacentral:lncRNA from 1 species
AGAAGGAGACAGACAGGAGCUUUGGACUGAGGAAUUUUAGAUACCUUGACACCAUUAAAGAAGCUGUGGAGAGAGAGUGCCCAGGAGUUGUUUCCUGUGCAGAUAUCCUUGUCUUAUCUGGUAGAGAUGGCAUUGUUUCUGUAAGUGAUGCUACCUUAUCCACAAUAGGUUUCUCUAAAUUUACUCACUUUUCCAAGCACACUGUUUUUUUUGUUGCUAAUUUCCACACACACCAGUCACAAACUCAAGAAUCGAACACCAAAUCAUAAGACAAGAGUUAUCGAUGGGCCAAGAACUUCAAGCACACUUAUAAAAGAUCUGAUUGUGGGAACCUGUUUUUCUCUUAAUUUAGAACUGUUUUUGUGUACUAAUAGUAUAUUGCUUGCACAGCUUGGAGGCCCUUACAUCCCUCUUAAAACUGGAAGAAGAGAUGGCAGGAAGAGCAGAGCAGAUAUACUGGAGGAAUACCUCCCUGACCACAAUGAGAGCAUGACUGUUGUUCUUGAAAGGUUUGCAUCCAUGGGUAUUGACACCCCUGGAAUUGUUGCCUUGCUAGGUUCCCACAGUGUGGGCCGGACACACUGUGUCAAACUGGUUCACCGGUUAUACCCGGACGUUGACCCGGUUCUGAACCCGGGUCAUGUUGAGCACAUGCUACACAAGUGCCCGGAUCAGAUCCCGGACCCGAAGGCGGUGCAGUAUGUGAGAAAUGACAGGGGUACCCCCAUGGUUCUGGAUAAUAACUACUACAGAAAUAUAUUGGACAACAAGGGGUUAUUAAUAGUGGAUCAUCAACUAG